rnacentral:rRNA from 1 species
CGAGUUUGAUCCUGGCUCAGAUUGAACGCUGGCGGCAUGCCUUACACAUGCAAGUCGAACGGCAGCACGGGGGCAACCCUGGUGGCGAGUGGCGAACGGGUGAGUAACGCAUCGGAAUGUACCCAGUAGUGGGGGAUAACUAGUCGAAAGAUUAGCUAAUACCGCAUACGCACUGAGGUGGAAAGCGGGGGAUCGCAAGACCUCGCGCUAUUGGAGCAGCCGAUGUCCGAUUAGGUAGUUGGUGGGGUAAAGGCCUACCAAGCCUGCGAUCGGUAACUGGUCUGAGAGGACGACCAGUCACACUGGGACUGAGACACGGCCCAGACUCCUACGGGAGGCAGCAGUGGGGAAUUUUGGACAAUGGGCGCAAGCCUGAUCCAGCAAUGCCGCGUGUGUGAAGAAGGCCUUCGGGUUGUAAAGCACUUUUGGCGGGAGCGAAACGGCGUUUGCUAAUACCAGACGCUAAUGACGGUACCCGCAGAAUAAGCACCGGCUAACUACGUG